ACAUUGUGUGUCGACUUCAUGAUCAGGAGAAGAAGAAAAAGGGGUUCAAACCCUAGUUCAAAAGAAGCUUCAAUUGAAGGGAAAUUUGGAGCUUAAACCUAUGAUUGAACUUGAAUUAAUGAUCACCUACACAAGGGGAUAAUGAGGUGUAGCAAGGCUUGGAAGACAACAUGGCAAACAAGUGGAAAAGGUGAUAACUUUCUUACGGACAAAGGAAAGGAAGCCGGGGCAUCUAUCGGACAAACCGGUGUGGGCGCACGUUUGAAGAGCUCGCUUUAAAGGUAACAAGGUGGAUCUUACGGAUGGCGGUCAAGCGAAGGAUAAAGAACCGAACACGAUUUUUGAAGCUUCCGCAACGUUUUAAAUCAUACUUAGAUUUUGUUCAUGGGUUGUAAACAAUUUCUUAAACAAAUUUUGAAAGUUCCAGCUUAGUCAUUAGUUGACUAAGAUUUAUGCUACUUAUGAAACCUAUGUUAAUUAAAUAUCUUUUGGUAUAAAAUGUA